GAAGCGACGCGUGUGAAAACUCUGCUGAACUAUGCACCCAAUCUAACUCAAGAGUCAAUAGUUGCUUCUCUUUCGCUGUCGCGAUCCUGUCAUCCUCACUCUCUGUUCAAGUGCGACUUCUAACCAACAAUAUGACCAAAGCCAAGUAGCAGCAGGGGUGCAGCAGAAGAACAAGCUUUAGUAGCUUGCUGAUGCAAAGGCAAGGAAAUGUCAACGACAAUGAGAAUUAAACAUAUUGAUCCCACCACUAUGCUGAAGCGGAGGCAUCGAGAUUUAUCUGAAAAAUUCUUAUCACAUGUCACAAUUUAGUUCCAGUCGAGGAGUCGAACAAGCAUGUCGAGAGAAAAAAAAAAACAAAGCCAAGAGGGAUCAGCUGUUAUUUUUCCCAAUGCGGUUGCUCCGACUCCAAAAUUAAUGACACAAAAUGAAAUGUGGAAAGUGAUGCUGUCAACAACACUUGUUGGAUUGGAUUGGAUUGGAUUGGAUUGAAGACACAAGCCACUGAGAGGACGGGUCGAGGGAAGGCCGUCUGCACCAUCAAUCUGCUAUCUGAGAUGGAGAUGCCAUUCGCAGUGAAAUUGAACAAGCGGCAGUACGACACGGGCACUGGCGAAAUGUCUGGCGUUAAUACGGCUAUUGCUUUGCUCGAUGCUGUUGCUGAAGCUCCCCUUUUCCUUUUCCGGGCGAGUGGCUAAUUGCCCAGUGAAGUGGCAGCUCCGGCUACAACAAAGCCAAACCGAGUUGUGCUCAGUUGGGCCCCUGAUGAUGACGACGACCAUCCACCGCAGCCGCGGCUAAAUUCUCAUUGUAAUUGUCAUCAUCGCAUUGAGUCUUCAUCUUUCACUGGGGGCGCAUCGUAUUGUUACUUAAAUGAUUUCUGUGUUGUUCAUUAUUGCAUCCGCAGUAAAAAUAAUGAAACAACGCAUUUGUUCAUUUCAGCUCACAGAACAAUUUAUAAAAUCCAAGUACAACAGGAGUGGGCGUGGACCUUAUAAUAUGAUAGUUCUUUUUUCAGAUUUCCCGUGGCAGUCAAAGUUAAGGUUCCUCUCCGUCAGAUCUUUACCCGCCUGUCGGAUUGAUGCACAAUUGGUGCUUGUCUGGUCCACCACUUGGUAAUUGGCAGCCAGGCGACCAGACCACCGAUCGAUAACAAUAAAAUUGUUAAAAGCGCAAAAUGCCGCAAAGAGUGUAAUUUGUCGAGCACAUGAACAGGGAGAGGAACGACCCAGGUCCAAAAACCAGGCGUAUUUGAAUUCAUCAAUGGCGUGUUUAAGCAGUUUGUCAGCGACACGUGGCAGAGCGGCUGUUGGCCUUUCGAGUUUGCUGGCAACAGCAGGCGGUGACGGUGACGUUGGCUGUGCUAAAGGAACGAUUACAAACGAGGAAGAGGAUAAGAACGAGGGCCGGGCCGUGUGUCGAUGCUGAUGAUGAUGUAAAACGUCAGUACUAUUCAAAAACAGCCACCACCACAACCCCACCCUCACGACUCACAGCUGGAUACGAGGUGCAGUAAAUAGAGAUUUAAACGCCCAUACUGGCUGGCUGGCCACUUUGCCGCUUGGCGUUGUCAACGCAACGCCACGCCACGGAGCGACAAUGGCUCAGUUGUAAUACCCAUUCGUUCCCACUCAUUGUUAUAAACUAAAUUGCUAAAAUUCGUAUACCGUACAGCACGGCUUGUAAAAAUCAAACGACGCCUUAACUUAAGGGUAUGCUUCUUUGAUUCGUCCUUUGGGAAUCGUCAUUUUUUUCCUCUCACAUUAGUACAUAGUUAACCCUUUAACAUCAAAAACUUACUGAAUCAAUAUUUUUCUUCAAAUUAUCACUUUCUUACUUGCGGUACCCUGAUUGUCGGCGCGGUACAGUUCUAAAUAAGAUAUUUUUAUACAGGGUAUAUUAUAUGUUUUUAAACACUUCAUCUUAGAGAAUU
rnacentral:sRNA from 1 species